UAUGUAGGCGGCGCUGUUAGUCGGGUGUGAAAUCCCACGGCUCAACCGUGGAACUGCGCCCGAUACUGCAGUGCUUGAGGGAGACAGAGGUAAGCGGAACUGAUGGUGGAGCGGUGAAAUGCGUUGAUAUCAUCAGGAACACCGGUGGCGAAAGCGGCUUACUGGGUCUCUUCUGACGCUGAGAUACGAAAGCUAGGGUAGCGGAAGG
rnacentral:rRNA from 1 species